UAGACGCUGGCGGNCGCCUACACAUGCAAGUCGAGCGGAAACGACUUAACUGAACCUUCGGGGAACGUUAAGGGCGUCGAGCGGCGGACGGGUGAGUAAUGCCUAGGAAAUUGCCUUGAUGUGGGGGAUAACCAUUGGAAACGAUGGCUAAUACCGCAUAAUGCCUACGGGCCAAAGAGGGGGACCUUCGGGCCUCUCGCGUCAAGAUAUGCCUAGGUGGGAUUAGCUAGUUGGUGAGGUAAGGGCUCACCAAGGCGACGAUCCCUAGCUGGUCUGAGAGGAUGAUCAGCCACACUGGAACUGAGACACGGUCCAGACUCCUACGGGAGGCAGCAGUGGGGAAUAUUGCACAAUGGGCGCAAGCCUGAUGCAGCCAUGCCGCGUGUAUGAAGAAGGCCUUCGGGUC
rnacentral:rRNA from 1 species